CGGAAGGGCACCGCGGCCCCUGCAUGUGCAGCUCCUCAGCUGCUUCUCCUGCUGCCGUCAAGUUAAAGGCCCCUAGCUGCCCCAGGAGAAACGUGCCCUCUAUCUCCUGUCUGGGCUCCUCUCGCUCCUGGUUCCCAAGGCCUCUCUGCCUCCCGCGUGAGACUUGGCCAUGUGAGCUCAGAGGGGAGACCAGGCUGGAAAUAGAAGACCUGUUAUUUCAUGGAGCAGAGACAAGCAACACCUUGGAGGAUUUGUCCCUGGAGAAGGAAAUGGCAACCCACUGCAGUAUUCUUGCCUGGAGAAUCCCAUGGACGGAGGAGUUUGGUGGGCUACAGUCCAUGGGUCGCAAAGAGUCAGACACGACUGAGCGACUUCACUUUAGGGUUUGGUAAACACUGAUAAUGAUAAAAUUAUUAUCAGCAAUAACAACUGUUAUUCCAUUAUGAAGGAGGUCCUGUAGAAGAGUUGAGCUGAGAAGGAACGGGAAUGUAACGGGCUGGUGGCAGGUACAGCCCUCCUCAGCUUUACAUGUACCAGACCGUGAAAUGCUUUAUUACAUCUGUGCUAUUUUACCCACCAGCAAGUUUAUGAUUGCGAGUGUAACUCUGCAUGGAUUAACACAGACUGAAGGAAACGCAGUCCUUGGCCUUCAAAAACGUCCAGUUUUAUGUCAGCAGUUUCAGAGACACUUUGCCCAAUUGAUUUAGCUCAGAUGGCCUCUUUCUAUAUGCAUGACAGGAG
ensembl:lncRNA